GACGAACGCUGGCGGCGUGGAUAAGACAUGCAAGUCGAACGGGAUUAUUUUUGUAGCAAUACAGAGGUAAUUCAGUGGCGAACGGGUGCGUAACACGUGGGCAAUCUGCCGAAAAGUGGGGGAUAGCUCGCCGAAAGGCGAAUUAAUACCGCAUGUGGUGAGGGAUGACAUCUUCCUGAAUCCAAAGCCGGGGCAACCUGGCGCUUUUUGAGGAGCCCGCGGCCUAUCAGCUAGUUGGUGAGGUAACGGCUCACCAAGGCUUUGACGGGUAGCUGGUCUGAGAGGACGACCAGCCACACUGGGACUGAGACACGGCCCAGACUCCUACGGGAGGCAGCAGUGGGGAAUUUUGGACAAUGGGCGAAAGCCUGAUCCAGCCAUGCCGCGUGCAGGAUGAAGG
rnacentral:rRNA from 1 species